AGGCCCUCCUGCAUGACCACAGCCGCCACAUCGGCGCUCCAGGCUGGGUCACAGGCUUGCUCGAUGCGCUCCAGGACCACACUGUCCCACUGCUUUUUGGCCAGGGUGAACUGGCGGUUGGGCUCCAGCUCGAUGGUGUGUCUCGAGGCGCGCGGCGCAAAAUCGGCUCGAGAGACACAGCUGCGAACACCUUCCUCUCCGCGGUUCCGGCUGCGGUACCGACCGAGGCUGAUGCAACCAGGGCGCAUGCGCAGCCCGCGUCCUGCCGCCAGGCGCACGGCUUACGUCCCCAAUGAGGAGGCGGGGCCGCAGCUUGCGCGUGCGCAGGCGCGCUAAGCCCGGCAGUGUUUCCCGAAUAAACCACCUAAGGAAAGCACACGGAGUCUUUGGUAUUAGUGCGGAACUUGGACUUCCUAAGUUUUUUCUUCCACCCCUGUUUGUGAAGAAUCUGGGGAGUUAACUCAACAACUUUACAUUGAACAAGGAACUGAUUACACUAAAGUCCAUCCUAGUGGGUGUGAGGAGGCAGAAGGCAGGAGGAGAAGGGGACGACAGAGGAUAAGAUGGUUGGAUGGCGUCACUGACUCGAUGGACAUGAGUUUGAACAAGCUCUAGGAGUUGGUGAUGCACAGGGAAGCCUGGCGUGCUGCGGUCCAUGGGGUGGCAAAGAGUCAAACACGACUGAGUGACUGAGUGGGCUCUGAGAAGCUAAGUCCUGCAGUUGCCUACAUGAUUGAUACCCAAGAAAAAUCCUGAACAUAAGGCUCAGGGGAGCUUCAGGUAUGUCCUCGUACAACACUGUUGGUAUAAUUAAGUGAAUCUGUGGGACUCUCCUGGAAGAGGACAUCUGGAGGCUUGAGUCUGGUGUCUCUUGGACUUCACCCUUGGUGCCUUACUGAUUUUAAUCUUCUUCCUAAUGUGAUUUGACAAGGACUGCUGCUCUCAAGACUAUGUUUAUUUGAUGAAUGGAUAUGGCAUAUCUCCAUAUUUUGUGAGAAUGUAUCUUGGAAGCUUCUUUGGAAAGAAAAUAUGACUACAUCUUGUGAAAUGCCGGGCUGGAAGAAGAACAAGCUGGAAUCAAGAUUGUCAGGAGAAAUAGCAAUAACCUCAGAUAUGCAGAUGACACCACCCUUAUGGCAGAAAAUGAAGAGGAACUAUAGAGCCUCUUGAUGAAAAUGAAAGAUGAGAGUGAAAAAGCUGACUUAAAACUCAGCAUUCAAAAAAUGAAGAUUAUGACAUCCAGUCCUAUCACUUCAUGGCAAAUAUAUGGGAAAACAAUGGAAACAGUGACAGACUUUAUUUUCUUGGGCUCCAAAAUCACUGCAGAUGGUGACUGCAAGCCAUGAAAUUAAAAGACACUUGCUCCUUGGAAGAAAAGCUGUGCCCAACCUAGAUAGCAUAUUAAAAAGCAGAGACAUUACUUUGAUGACAAAUGUCCAUCUAGUCAAAGCUAUGGUUUUUCCAGUGGUCAUGUAUGGAUGUGAGAGUUGAACCAUAAAGAAAGCUGAGCGCUGAAGAAUUGAUGCUUUUGAACAGUCGUGUUGGAGAAGAUUCUUAAGGGUUAUUUGGACAACAAGGAGAUCAAACCAGUCAAUCCUAAAGGAAAUCAAUCCUGAAUAUUCAUUGGAAGGACUGAUGCUGAAACUAAAGCUCCAACACUGGCCAUCUGAUAGGAAGAACUGAUUCAUUAGAAAAGACCAUAAUGCUGGGAAAGAUUGAAGGCAGGAGGAGAAGGGGAUGACAGAGGAUGAGAUGAUUGGAUGGCAUCACCAACUCGAUGGACAUGAGUUUGAGUAGGCUCCAGGAGUUGAUGACAGACAGGAAGCCUGGUGUGCUGCAGUCCAUGGGGUCUCAAAGAGUCAGAUAAUACUGAGAGACUGAACUGAACUAAUGUGCAACCCAGAUUGGGUUUUCCUGGUAGCACAGUGGUAAAAGAAUUUGCCUGCCAAUGCAGGAGAUGAAAGAGACUUGGGUUUGAUUCUUGGGUUGGGAAGAUCCCCUGGAGGAGGAAAUGGUGACCCACUCCAGUAUUCUUGCCUGGAAAAUCCUAUGGACAAAGGAGCCCGGUGGGCUGCAGUCCGUGGGGUCACAAAGAGUCAGACAUGGCUCAGCGACUGAGCAACAUGCAACCCAGAUGAGUGAAAGUGUCUGCAGAAGCCUGAGUGGCCUGUUACACAGUCUACCCAAGGGACAUGGACUUGGUCAUCUACGGCAUGGAAGAGAUCUGACCUCAAAUUGAGACAAAGUCGGGCUUCCUUGACAGUUCAGUUGGAAAGAAAGCUGAGCGCUGAAGAACUGAUGCUUUUGAACUGUGGUGUUGGAGAAGACUCUUGAUAGUCCCUUGGACUUCAUGGGGAUCCAGCCAGUCAAUCCUAAAGGAAAUCAGUCCGGAGUAUUCAUUGGAAGGAAUGAUGCUGAAGCUGAAGCUCCAAUACUUUGGCCACCUGAUGCAAAGAACUGACUCACUGGAAAAGACCCUAAUGCUGGGAAAGAUUGAAGUCAGGAGGAGAAGGGGAUGACAGAGGGUAAGACGGUUGGAUGUCAUCACCAACUCGAUGGACAUGAGUUUGUGCAAGCUCUGGGAGUUGGUGAUGGACAGGGAAGCCUGGUGUGCUGUAGUCCAUGGGGUCGCAAAGAGUUGGACAUGACUGUGCGAUUGAACUGAACUGAACUGAAUACAUGGAGUAACUGAGCUAUUACCGUUAUUCACAGUACAGACUAGCUUUAGUUUCAUUUGAGAUGUGAUGGAUACCAAAACAUUAUGAGACAAGACUUGCCCCUCACCCCCUGCUGGCCCAAAUAUGCAGAAGUUUGCAAUGGAAAUGGAGAGGGAUUCUGUCCUAUAACUCUUAGAUGUUUUACAAGGUCAGAAAACUUUUAAAAGAGGGCUAGAGGAUUCUGUGAAAAGGGAAAAUGUUGGCCAGAGUAGUCAUGCUCUUAUGAAGCUCUUGAACCAUGCUUGGGAAAAAGGAUAGGGUGGAGUUACACUAACUCCCACUGCUUUCAGAGGCCUCUGGGGAACACUGGGAGGCAGAGAGGAUGCUAUCUUCUUGAGAAACCCCCAAACAAGGGAAACUUUGACUUGGCUACCUUAACAACCAGGACAGUCAAUGGUAUAGUGUUGAGAACAGUCCAAGACUUUAUUGAGUCAAAGGAUGCAUGAGUAUUUCCCCAGUAGUUGUGGCCCACACUACAGAGACAGUCAGAAAGGGAUUAACUUCAGUUCUCUUCUGUGAAGUCUACAAAUUGCAAGGAAGUCUCAGUAUAAAGAGGCUGGAUUUAUCAAAUGCCCAGGAACUGAAAAAGUAUCUAUCUUAAUUCAAGGAAAUGCAGAGAGGAAACUCCAAGGAACCUCAAGAACGCCUCCUUAAAUGCACUCAGAUGUAACAACUUCAGAACCAGAAAGGAAGAACUUAUCAAGACCCAAUCUGUUCUAGACUUAUCCCUCCAAAUUGUCCUACCAUUCUUCCCUCAUAGCUCAGUUGGUUAAGAAUCUGUCUGCAAUGCAGGAGACCCUGGUUCGAUUCCUAGGUUGGGAAUAUUUGUUGGAGAAGGGAUAGCCUACCCACUCCAGUAUUCUUGGACUUCCUUUGUGGCUCAGCUGGUAAAGAACCUGCCUGCACGAGGGUGGGGUGAUCUGAGAGAAUAGCAUUGAAACAUGUAUAUUAUCAUAUGUGAAACAGAUCGCCAGUCCAGGUUCGAUGCAUGAGACAGGGUGCUCAGGGCUGGUGCACUGGGAUGACCCUGAGGGAUGGGAUGGGGAGGGAGGCGGGAGUGGGGUUCAGAUGGGGGACACAUGUACACCCAUGGGUGAUUCAUGUCAAUGUAUGGCAAAAACCAGCACAAUAUUGUAAAGUAACUAGCCUCCAAUUAAAAUAAAUAAAUUAAUUUUAAAAAUAUUAAAAAAAAAAGAAUCCACCUGCAAUGCGGGAGACUUGGGUUCGAUCCCUGGGUUGGGAAGAUCCCUUGGAGAAGGGAAUGGCAACCAACUCCAGUAUUUUGGCCUGGAGAAUUCCGUGGACUGUAUAGUCCAUGGGGUCAUAAACAGUUGGACACAACUGAGCGACUUUCACUAUCAUCCUAGGUAGCAUGCAAGUGCAGUUAGAGGUAGGGGUAGAUAGUGAGCAGGAGCAUGAGAGAAGAAAACCAGGAGUUCUUUUCAUCCAGGUUUCAGAUCUCAGGAGAAGAGAAGGUUUAAACUGAGAUUAGAUUUUUUUUUUUUUAUUGUAGGGGAAUGAAAAACCUAUGAGGCUAUUUGCAAUCUAUGGUAACUCUAGAAUUGUCUGUUAUCUGAGAGUGAGUAGAAGAUUCACAGAUCUUCCUAAGUUUUCUUACAGGGACAGAUGAAGAGCAAAUUUUCCAGUGAGAAAAGUUUAAAGAGAUGCGCGGAGAGAGAAUUAUUGAUGCAUUUUGAUUGCAGAUCCACAUCAUACUUACUUAACAUACUGGAUACACUUCAUUGUUGAAAUAUUUUCUAUAGAUAGAAUUCUGAGAUUUGAAUCAUUGUAAAUUCAUUUUCUUUAAUUUUUUGUGACAUUCAAUUAAAGUUUUUUUGAGAAACAGUCAUAACUAAAAAUGCAGUUAUCUCAUUAAAGCAUAACAUUAAAUGAAGUGUGUUAGUACUCUGACAAUAUAAAUCUCCAAAUAAGUCAUAAAAUAUAUGCUAAUGUGUACAGUGCUUAUACUCAAAUUCUUUCUCUUCUGUGUCACGUAUGAGGCCAGAAGCACCAUUGUUAAAGAGAAAGUGCAGGAUGAUGAUGUGGUUGGUCCACCGUCAGGGGCUAGUCUGUAUUUGAACAUAUCAGCCAUAUCAGAUUGGAAGAUAGUUCUCUCAUUUAGGACAUUCCAAUUAUUUCAGUCACAUGACAUAUUUGUAAAUCUUUAAUUAUUAUUCAUAUGCAUAUUGGUUCCUUAAGUGAGUCUGGAGGAGUUGUCUUAUUUCUAUUUCAAAAAAUGAAUCCAGAUACAAACUGUUAUAUAGAGAACUGAUAAACAACAAGGUCCUACUCUAUAGCACAGGGAACUAUUUUGAUAUCCUGUGAUUAACCAUAAUGGAGAAAAAUAUAUAUAACUGAAUCACUUUACUAUAUAGCAGAAAUUAAGACAACAUUGUAAACCAACUAUACUGAAUUUACGUAUAAAAAUGAAUUAUUCCCAUCAAGAUACUUUCCUCUUUAUUUUAGUGCAGUGAAUUCUUGGUAAAGUUCAGAUAAUAAAAAGAAAUUAUCUAUUUCAAGUAUAUUUUAACGAGUGAUAUUCUCUGUGAGAAUGAACCUGGCAGGACAUGGCAGUCCUUCCCCAUCUGAGCUGCCCUGGUGACCUGCAUUCUGCUUCUUUCACUGUCAUGAUCAAUAUGAUAAAGGAAUCAAACUUUUAUACUUUAAAGAUAGCAUGAAACAUGGGCUUGAUCACACUAGAAUAAUGAUAUUUUUUCUCUUUUUAUUUUAAUAAACUUUUUGGUGGAAUUUGAUUAAGGAGCAUAAUAUCAGAUGCAAGAGUCAUCCGUAAGGUAAGUGAACUGUAUAGAAGCAAAAGAAUGAAAUUUUCCCUUUUUAAAAAAUAAGAGAGCUAUUUAUAUUAAUGAGUUG